GGGACACGUGUGGAGAGCACAAGCCGGAAAUGGAAAAGCCGGUGCAAGCGAGGUAGGAGAUGAACAGGCAAAUCCGUUCAUCAAUCCGAAGACGUGAUGCGGACCGAAUUAAGAGUAGGGAAGUGUGUGAGCCAUGCGUCAAGAAAAGCCGCUAUUGUUUUACUUAAGCCCGUACCGUAAACCGACACAGGUGGAUGAGGAGGGAAUCCUAAGGCCGACGGGAGAAGCAUUGUUAAGGAACUCGGCAAAAUGACUCCGUAACUUCGGGAGAAGGAGUGCCAGCGAGAGCUGGCCGCAGAGAAUUGGCCCAAGCAACUGUUUAGCAAAAACACAGGUCUAUGCAAAACCGUAAGGUGAAGUAUAUGGGCUGACGCCUGCCCGGUGCUGGAAGGUUAAGAGGAGAGGUUAGCGGCAACGCGAAGCUUUGAAUUUAAGCCCCAGUAAACGGCGGCCGUAACAAUAACGGUCCUAAGGUAGCGAAAUUCCUUGUCGGGUAAGUUCAGACCCGCACGAAAGGCGUAAUGAUUUGGGCACUGUCUCAACAAUGCACCCGGUGAAAUUGAAAUACCAGUGAAGAUGCUGGUUACCUGCGCCAGGACGGAAAGACCCCAUGGAGCUUUACUCCAGCUUGAUACUGGGAUUCGGUAUUGCAUGUACAGGAUAGGUGGGAGGCUAGGAAGUGAUAACGCCAGUUGUCACGGAGCCGCUGUUGGGAUACCACCCUUGCAGUAUUGGAUUUCUAACCAGCGACCAUGAACUGGUCGGGGGACAAUGUCAGGUGGGGAGUUUGACUGGGGCGGUCGCCUCCGAAAGGGUAUCGGAGGCGCUCAAAGGUUCCCUCAGAAUGGACGGAAACCACUCGAAGAGUGCAAAGGCAGAAGGGAGCUUGACUGCGACACCGACGGGUGGAGCAGGUACGAAAGUAGGACUUAGUGAUCCGGUGGUAUAAAGUGGGAUUGCCAUCGCUCAACGGAUAAAAGCUACCCUGGGAUAACAGGCUUAUCACUCCCAAGAGUUCACAUCGACGGAGUGGUUUGGCACCUCGAUGUCGGCUCAUCGCAUCCUGGGGCUGAAGUAGGUCCCAAGGGUUGGGCUGUUCGCCCAUUAAAGCGGUACGCGAGCUGGGUUCAGAACGUCGUGAGACAGUUCGGUCCCUAUCCGGCGUGGGCGUAGGAUAUUUGAGAGGAGCUGUCCUUAGUACGAGAGGACCGGGAUGGACUGGCCGCUGGUGUAUCUGUUGCAUACCAAAUGCAUGGCAGAGUAGCCAAGCCGGGACGGGAUAAACGCUGAAGGCAUCUAAGCGUGAAGCCCCCCUCAAGAUGAGAUAUCCCUACGUAAGUAGUAAGACCCCUUGAAGACGACGAGGUAGAUAGGUCAGAGGUGGAAGUACAGUAAUGUAUGGAGCUGACUGAUACUAAUCGGUCGAGGGCAUGACCG
rnacentral:rRNA from 1 species